rnacentral:lncRNA from 1 species
UUUGAGUACGAUUUCUACCUCUGCAGUCACCAUGGAGGCAUAGGGACAAGCAAGCCCACUCAUUAUUAUGCCCUUUGGGACGAACUCGACUUCACUUCAGAUCAGAUGCAGAAGCUUAUCUUCGACAUGUGCUUCACUUUCACUCGCUGCACCAAACCUGUGUCUCUCGUUCCUCCAGUCUACUAUGCGGACAUGGUCGCAUUUAGAGGAAGAAUGUACCACGAGGCGAGUUCACGGGAGAAGAACAUUAGGCAGCCACGAGGAGCGCCUCCCCCACCGGCCGAUUCACUUUCUGCUCUGACUUUGGAGGACAAAGCAAUAUUCAAGUUGCACAAGGAGCUUGAGAACGUUAUGUUCUUUGUCUGAAAAAAAAGGUUUGGGGGGGUUAUUAUAUUUGUGUUUUUGGGUACCUAAGCUGAAGUUAAAAAUGCUAUUAUAUUGAUUAUCGUAACAGCCCCAAUAACGCAGUUUUACUCUUUCUUCUGGUAGAAAGGAGUUUGUGCGUGAAUCUAAUUGGGUUUAUUGUAGUGUGUUUCUCUUUGUUUUAAAGUCUUUGUGUUGAAAUCAGUUUGUGUUUGGUAUUGUAUUGCUCUUUGGAGCAGAGACUGCAUUAUGUAAUGGUAUUUUAUUAUAUAAUUAUAUAAUUAAGAAUCUGGGUUUUAUUAGUAGUUCAUACUCUGUUAUCGUCUUCUCAAAUUUUGUUUCUGGGUUUUGCUUCUUUUGAUGUCAGAGAUAUGUUCUCUCAUAUAUUGUUUGUGUUCUGCAUUUUCUAAAGUAGUUUCUUGGAGAAUCAAUAUCUAUUUGGUUAUUGUAGGAAUGAUUAUGCAUUUGAUCAUGCAAUCUAUGUGCCAAAAAGCUGAAGGAUAAGUCUAUGAGAGACAUAACUAUACAUAGUGAAGCUUUUCGUUGCUUUUGAUUUUAUUCAGUCAUUGGCGCUCUGUUUUUCUUCCGAGUGGUGCUCACUGAUUUUUUCCUGGUAUUAUGAAACCAUUAGAGCAAGAGCAUCAGUUAAUCCCCCUUUGGGGUUUAUCUUCUUAAAUUUUUUAUUAUUAAAUUUUUUCCUUUUUUUUUGAUUUUUUUUUUUUAAAAAAAAUUGACCAAUCGCGGGCCGCCAUGUGUCGUAGAGUCCGCGUUACAGUGAUGAACUUGAGAAAAGAGGAUAUCACGCAGGAGAGGCGAGACAAACCGAGUUCAUCGCUUUUGCUUUUUUUAAUAUUUGUUUUCUUCGUAAAACGUGUUAUACAUUUCUUUUAAACCUCUAAUGCGCAUGACCUUAGAUAUUAAUUUAAUAUAUUCACAAGUGAAGGAUUGAACACAGUUUCAAAUUUUUGGUACUGAAACUAUACUCUUCAAAGUUUGGUACUGAAGUUAUAAUUGGUAGAAUAACUGUGCUGAUAAUACAUUUAAAACUCUAGUUUCAGUUUAUUUUAUUUUUUAUAAGAAAAUAUGAACAUAAAAGUGGAAGAUAACACUUCGAACAAACUGUUGUUUUGUAAUUUUGAUCAGUUGUGUCAAUUUUGUUUCAUUUUGUUGAAGAAUAUAUUAAUCUUCUAUGUGAAUAUCAAGAAAGGAAAAACAAAUUAUAUUAUUUUCAGAAAAACUAUAUCCGUAAAUAUCCGUAAACAAAUUAUUUUAUUUUCAGAACAAAUCCGUUUUUGUUUGAUGUUUUAAUUUAAUAAAAACCAUAAAAUAAUAAAUCAUUUUAUUAAAGUUUUAUGAUUGUUUUUUUUUGCAUUUGUUGUUUGAGAUUUAUUUAUAAUUAAAACAAGUUUUUACACAUAAGUUCAAGUUAAUAUUUGUAAUUUAUAUCAUGGUGCAUAGAUUAAUUGUUAUAAACUUUGUACUUAGGAUUAGAGAAAAUAAUAUAUCUAAAUGUUUAAACUGAACACAACCAAAUAAGAAAUUAAAUGAAAAGUAAAAAAAAUGAAAGUCAAAUACAACUAUCAAUUUAAUGUUUAUACAACAUUCUACAUGUUUUUAUGUAUUAAUUUAAUUUUUUAUUAAAUAAGUCUUUAAAUUUUUGUUUCGUUAGGAUUUUUUUAAAAAGGAAAACAUUUAUUUUAUAAACCUCCUUUUUAUUUACAAUUAAAAAACUAAAAAUAAUAUUAAAUUUAGUAUCAAUACUAAUUUUUAGUAUCAUACUAUUUUACAAUUUUGUUAAUUAAAUAAUUUUUAGUAUUAUUUCAUCAUCAAAUACUCUUUUAAAAAUAUUAUCAAAUAAUUUUUGACAAUUUUCUUUUAGUUAGGACUUAAAAAUAUGAUACAAAUUUCUUUAUUUAGGAUUUUUAUACAAAUAUAAAACAACUAUCAAAUAUUAUUUUACUGUUUUUUAGGAUUUUAGAAAACGAAAUUAAUAUUACAUAAUAUUUUACAAUUAUAUUUUAUCUAGGAAUUUUUUUUUUACAACAAAAGGCUAAAGAGAGACUAAAUAGAUUUCUGAUCCAAGAGCCACCUCGGAGAUUUUGUCUAGGAUUUAGAAAAGUAAAAUUUCUAUCAAAUAAUUAUUUCGAGUUAGUAUUAGGCCUGAAACUUUUAUCCGAAAUAAUUGAUUAAGAUUAGAAAAGAAAUUUCUUUUUUAGAAAUCUUUUUUAUUUUGGAUUUUAGGAAAAUAACAAGUUAUUUUUACAUAAUGACAGUUUUUAUUGACACAUUCACAAUCUAUUUUUUUAAUUGACACAUGUCAUAAUCAUAUUAGGUGAAAUAUUUGAAGUUAAUUUUGAUUUAUAUUUUUUAACACAAAAUUAAUAAAAAGUAAAGUUUAAUUAUAAGAAAAAUAAGAUUAUUUUUAUAUUUUUAUUUUAUUUAGACUUUUAAAAAGGACAUUAAUUAUUUAAUAAUUAGUUUUCUUUUAGAUUUUUAUACAACUAUUUUAUUUUUAUUAGAAAAAAUUCUGUUUAUUAUUUAUAUAUUUUUUCUUAUACAUAAAACACAUAUUCAUCAUAUUCACACAUACUCAUGUACGACAACAACAUCAAAACUAAAAAUUAUGUUAGCAUCAUAAGAUUUAAAAAGUAUAAUGAAAGGUUGAGUUGUAUGAAGAAUUAAAAGAAAAUACUAAGGUAAUAUUUUUCAUGUAAAUACUAUUGUGUUUUUGUAAAAAUAAUAUGUAGAAGCUUAAAUAUAGAUGUGAAAUAUUUGUAGCUAUUUUUUGUCAUAAUUUUUUAACAUACAAUUAUCUAUUAAAAAAAAGAAAGUUAGUUACUUAUAAAAAAACAAUAAGAGUGAUUUUACAAUUUUCUUUUAAUUAGGCUUUUUAAAAAGUAAUAUUAUUUAUUAAAAAGUUAGUUUUUCUUCAUGUUUUUAUUAAAUAAUUUAUUGUACUUGUAGAAUUUUACAAUUCGUUUUUGUUUAACAUUUUUCUCUUAAAAGUUAAUAUUUAUCGUUUAUAAUUAUCUAUCUUUAGUAUCUUUUAAAACAAACAUUAUAAUAAAUAAUAAUAAUAAUAAGACUAUUAAAUAAUAUUUACAAUUAUUUUUUAAGAAAAAUCGUUUUCAUUAUUUUAAUAUAUAUAUAUAUAUAGAUGGCUGACAACUUUGUGGGCCUGCUUAUUAAUCGUUGUAAGACACUUGGGAUGCAGCUGAGGGAUCCCAUCAUUUUCAAAUCAGCAAGAAUGAAUUUGCUUUCUAAUGCUAAUGCUCUCGAGGAUUUGCUUCGACAAGUGAUUGACGAGGCUAAGCAUAACCAUGGUGGGGCUCGCCCAACUCUUGUUCUGUGUGCUAUGUCUGGGAGGGUUGAUGGCUACAAGACUCUCAAAUGGAUAGCCGAGACCAAGCUUGGUCUGGUGACUCAGUGUUUCUUGACCAAUUCCGCCAGUAGAGGAGGUGACCAGUAUCUGGCAAAUCUCGCCCUCAAGAUCAAUGCAAAAGUUGGCGGAAGUAAUGUUGAGCUGAUGGAUAGUGGCUACUCUUUCUUCAAAAGAGAGGACGAGGUCAUGUUCAUUGGUGCUGACGUCAACCAUCCUGCUGCUCGAGACACGACGAGCCCCUCCAUUGUUGCUGUUGUGGGCACUCUAAACUGGCCUGAAGCUAACCGUUACGCAGCUAGAGUCAUUGCACAGCCUCGCCGGAAAGAGGAGAUUCAAGGAUUUGGUGACACGUGCUUUGAGCUUGUUAAAGCUCAUUAUCAGGUCACAAGGAAACGGCCUAACAAGAUUGUUAUCUUCCGUGAUGGUGUCAGUGAUGGUCAGUUCGACAUGGUUCUUAAUCGUGAGUUGCUUGAUGUGAAGCUUACUUUUGAGAGGGACAACUACUUCCCCAAGAUUACUGUAAUCGUGGCGCAGAAACGUCAUCAAACCCGUUUCUUCCCUGAUACACCCAAUGACGGAAGUGACAAGGGAAAUGUUCCUUCAGGUACGGUGGUCGAUACCAAAGUCAUCCACCCGUUUGAGUACGAUUUCUACCUCUGCAGUCACCAUGGAGGCAUAGGGACAAGCAAGCCCACUCAUUAUUAUGCCCUUUGGGACGAACUCGACUUCACUUCAGAUCAGAUGCAGAAGCUUAUCUUCGACAUGUGCUUCACUUUCACUCGCUGCACCAAACCUGUGUCUCUCGUUCCUCCAGUCUACUAUGCGGACAUGGUCGCAUUUAGAGGAAGAAUUUACCACGAGGCGAGUUCACGGGAGAAGAACAUUAGGCAGCCACGAGGAGCGCCUCCCCCACCGGCCG